rnacentral:rRNA from 1 species
AACGAACGCUGGCGGCAUGCCUAACACAUGCAAGUCGAACGAUCCCUUCGGGGAUAGUGGCGCACGGGUGCGUAACGCGUGGGAACCUGCCCUUAGGUUCGGAAUAACUCAGAGAAAUAUGAGCUAAUACCGGAUAAUGUCUUCGGACCAAAGAUUUAUCGCCUUUGGAUGGGCCCGCGUUGGAUUAGCUAGUUGGUGGGGUAAAGGCCUACCAAGGCGACGAUCCAUAGCUGGUCUGAGAGGAUGAUCAGCCACACUGGGACUGAGACACGGCCCAGACUCCUACGGGAGGCAGCAGUGGGGAAUAUUGGACAAUGGGCGAAAGCCUGAUCCAGCAAUGCCGCGUGAGUGAUGAAGGCCUUAGGGUUGUAAAGCUCUUUUACCCGGGAUGAUAAUGACAGUACCGGGAGAAUAAGCCCCGGCUAACUCCGUG